CAUGCAAGUCGAACGAGAAAGNGGANUUCGNUCUGNGAGUACAGUGGCAGACGGGUGAGUAACACGUGGGUAACCUGCCCGGAGGUGGGGGACAACGUUCCGAAAGGGACGCUAAUACCGCNUGAUAUCUCGAGCACUUCGGUGCUUGAGAUCAAAGCUUGCCUCUUCUUGAAAGCAAGCGCCACCGGAGGGACCCGCGCNNCAUUAGCUUGUUGGUGAGGUAACGGCUCACCAAGGCUCCGAUGGGUAGCCGGCCUGAGAGGGUGAUCGGCCACACNGGAACUGAGACACGGUCCAGACUCCUACGGGAGGCAGCAGUGAGGAAUUUUGCGCAAUGGGGGAAACCCUGACGCAGCGACGCCGCGUGGAGGAGGAAGGUCUUCGGAUCGUAAACUCCUGUCAAGAGGGACGAAUCCGUAGGGGAUGAAUAAGCCUUUGCGUUGACGGUACCUCUGAAGGAAGCCCCGGCUAACUCCGUGCCAGCAGCCGCGGUAAUACGGAGGGGGCUAGCGUUGUUCGGAAUUAUUGGGCGUAAAGGGCGCGUAGGCGGCCCGGUAAGUCAGUCGUGAAAGCCCUCGGCUCAACCGAGGAAUUGCGAUUGAAACUGCCGAGUUUGAGUUCUGGAGAGGGUAGCGGAAUUCCCAGUGUAGCGGUGAAAUGCGUAGAUAUUGGGAGGAACACCCGUGGCGAAGGCGGCUACCUGGACAGAUACUGACGCUGAGGCGCGAAAGCGUGGGGAGCAAACAGGAUUAGAUACCCUGGUAGUCCACGCUGUAAACGAUGAACACUUGGUGUUGCGGGUAUCGACCCCUGCAGUGCCGAAGCUAACGCAUUAAGUGUUCCGCCUGGGGAGUACGGUCGCAAGGCUGAAACUCAAAUGAAUUGACGG
rnacentral:rRNA from 1 species